CCGCCUGCUACGCAAGCGUCUCGUGGAGAUGAUAGCAACUGCAUAUGAGAUGUUUGUGUGGAUACCCACAUUAAAUGCACCGUGUAAUUGGGCGGGGGAAGCAGAAGGUCGGCCGAGAGCAGGGGGAUCAGUAGGCGGCCGACCCAUCUCCCCGGCACGGCGGUGGCGACCCGAGGGCACGGAGAGGGGGGAGAGGAUGAAGAAGCAACGGAUUGCUGAAUAUCGUGGGGUUCAACACGAAAAUUCGUUUCGAGGCAAUGACCCUGAGAGAGUUUGUACACUGGGAAACCUACCACCCUCAGCGUUUAUUGGGAAUUCGGGCGAGGAAACUGUUUUGCUUCAAUGUGAUAUUGAUCUCAUCGGAUGAGCUGAUCUGAAGUAUUCUCUUCUUCCCCUC